rnacentral:lncRNA from 12 species
GGGUUUGCGUGUCCUCUCCUGGAAAGGGUCAUGUUAAUCCCAAAGAUCACCUGGCACAGGGAUCACAGGGUUGAUAAAUCCAUAAAAUCACAGCUCCACCCGGACUGGGCUUGGCAAGAUUCUUCUUUUCCCAGGAAAAAACUUUCCCCUUCCUGAGGUUCCAGCUGCUGUUCCUGGCGUGGGACAUUCCUGGGGAUAACUCAUCAUCCAGUGGUCAGUGCAACAGCUGGAAAAGGGCAUUUCUGAGGGUGUCACAUCUGGCCAGUGCUUCCCACAGCAGCCACAGGAAAUCCCUUUGGGAAGAGCUGAAUGAGGAUUAGUGUUGGAUCCACCUCUUUUAUUUUUAUUUAUUUCCCCUUUGCAAGCCCUGCUGAUUUCUCAUUUUCCAUUUCAGGGAAGCUUUUGGAGCUCAUUCCCUUGAACAUUUUGCUACCUGAGGGUUGACAGCAGAGCGAUUUUUUCCUUGCUGCUCCAGGAAAACCUGUGUGAAAUCCGGGUUAUUUGAUUUUGAUGGAAUGCUCUGCCAGGGGAACACCACGAGCCCUGAGUCAGAUUUAUAUUUCAGCUUUUCUGGUGAGUUCAUGCCCCCAGCUGCUGUUUGGGCUGUAAAUAACCUUGUCUGGGAGUGAUGCUGCCUUUUAUUCCUUCCAUUCCAUGUUUUUUCCCCUUCCUGCCUUUUUAUCCUUCCUGCCUUUUUUCCUUUUCUGCCUUUUUUCCUUUUCUGCCUUUUUUCCUUUUCUGCCUUUUUUUCUUUUCUGUCAUUUUCCUUUUCCCUCCUUUUCCCCCCUUCCUGCCUUUUUUUCCCUUCCCACCUUUUUUUCCCCUUUCCAUCUUUUUUCCCCCUUCCCAUCUUUUUUUCCUUUCCCACCUUUUUUCCCCUUCCCACCUUUUUUAUCCUUCCUGCCUUUUUCCCUUUUCUGCCUUUUUUCCCUUUCCCACCAUUUUUCCUUUUCUGCCUUUCCCCCCCACCUUUUCCCUGUUUUUUCUUUCCCAUCUUUUUUCUUUUCCCACCUUUUCCCCCUUCCUGCCAUUUUUCCUUUCCCACCUUUUUUUCCUUUUCUCACCUUUUUUCCUUUUCCACCUUUUUUCUUUUCCCACCCUUUUCCCCUUUCCUGCCUUUCCCCCACCCCCUGGCCACUUUCUGCUGUAAAUUAAGGCAGAAUUUGAGUUCCAUUCUCACACCAGACUUUCCUAGGAAUUUUUGGGCUCUGUAGGGAAUUUUGGAAGUUGUCACAGCCUAAAAAUCCCCAGGAUGAUCCCAUCCCAACAAAUCUGGAGAGUCAAGAACUGCCUCAGUGGUUUUAUGGCAUAAAAGAUGCCAAAGUGGGGUGAGGUUGGAAAAUGCAGUUUUCCAAGAUAUCCCCAAAUCUGCAAACUGGUGGAGGUGACAGUCACUGCCAGCUCGGAGUUUUAGUGGACAUUCCAUGGAUGCAGCAUUCCAAUUGUCUGGAGAAAUGAGAGAAGGCACUAUUCAUUCAAACUUGUAUUGGUUUGGGGUUUUUUUCCCCUUUGGUGGUGCUUCUUUUUUUUUUUUUUUUUUUUUUUUUUAAAUAGAAAACAGUCCUGGAACUGCUCAAAAAAUGAGAAAAUUUGGAAUUUCCUGUAUGGUU